UGAGUAAUACAUCGGAACGUGUCUUCUAGUGGGGGAUAACUGCCCGAAAGGGCAGCUAAUACCGCAUGAGACCUGAGGGUGAAAGCGGGGGAUCGCAAGACCUCGCGCUGGAAGGGCGGCCGAUGUCCGAUUAGCUAGUUGGUGAGGUAAAGGCUCACCAAGGCGACGAUCGGUAGCUGGUCUGAGAGGACGACCAGCCACACUGGGACUGAGACACGGCCCAG
rnacentral:rRNA from 1 species